CUACGGGCGGCUCCAGUGAGGAAUAUUGCACAAUGGGGGGAACCCUGAUGCAGCAGCGCCGCGUGGAGGAUGACGCAUUUCGGUGUGUAAACUCCUUUUAUAUGUCAAGAAAAUGACGGUAGCAUAUGAAUAAGCACCGGCUAACUCCGUGCCAGCAGCCGCGGUAAUACGGAGGGUGCAAGCGUUACUCGGAAUCACUGGGCGUAAAGGACGCGUAGGCGGGUUGGAAAGUCAGGUGUGAAAUCCUACAGCUUAACUGUAGAACUGCACUUGAAACUUCUAAUCUAGAGUAUGGGAAGGGGGAGAUGGGAUUAGUGGUGUAGGGGUAAAAUCCGUAGAUAUCACUAGGAAUACCUAAAGCGAAGGCGAUCUCCUGGAACAUUACUGACGCUAAGGCGUGAAAGCGUGGGGAGCAAACAGGAUUAGAUACCCCUGUAGUC
rnacentral:rRNA from 1 species